GUAAAAAUAAUUUAAAAAAAAAUGUUGAAUUGUGAUUUCAAAUAUGUACAACAGUACUUUUUACC
rnacentral:tRNA from 1 species